rnacentral:rRNA from 1 species
UACGGAGGGGGCAAGCGUUGUUCGGAUUUACUGGGCGUAAAGGGCGCGUAGGCGGCGCAACAAGUCACUUGUGAAAUCUCCGGGCUUAACUCGGAACGGUCAAGUGAUACUGUUGUGCUAGAGUGCAGAAGGGGCAAUCGGAAUUCUUGGUGUAGCGGUGAAAUGCGUAGAUAUCAAGAGGAACACCUGAGGCGAAGGCGGAUUGCUGGGCUGACACUGACGCUGAGGCGCGAAAGCUAGGGGAGCGAACGGG